AUUGAACGCUGGCGGCAGGCCUAACACAUGCAAGUCGGACGGUAGCACAGAGGAGCUUGCUCCUUGGGUGACGAGUGGCGGACGGGUGAGUAAUGUCUGGGAAACUGCCUGAUGGAGGGGGAUAACUACUGGAAACGGUAGCUAAUACCGCAUAACGUCGCAAGACCAAAGAGGGGGACCUUCGGGCCUCUUGCCAUCAGAUGUGCCCAGAUGGGAUUAGCUAGUAGGUGAGGUAAUGGCUCACCUAGGCGACGAUCCCUAGCUGGUCUGAGAGGAUGACCAGCCACACUAGAACUGAGACACGGUCCAGACUCCUACGGGAGGCAGCAGUGGGGAAUAUUGCACAAUGGGCGCAGGCCUGAUGCAGCCAUGCCGCGUGUAUGAAGAAGGCCUUCGGGUUGUAAAGUACUUUCAGCGGGGAGGAAGGUGAUACGGUUAAUAACCGUGUCAAUUGACGUUACCCGCAGAAGAAGCACCGGCUAACUCCGUGCCAGCCGCCGCCGUAA
rnacentral:rRNA from 1 species